rnacentral:lncRNA from 1 species
CCUAAUCAGUAUCUAAACAUUCGGUGUGAUAGAAAUUUUAGGAGUUUCUAAAGAAACAAACGGGACCUUACUCAUUUAGUAUGGCUACGAGCAGAACUGAUGAAAAGGUUCAGAUGUCACAGUGCUUGUCAGGGUAAGAGCAUGCUCGGCUGGAAAUGAACCUUUUUUUCUGUCCUUUUUAUAAUUAACUGAGGAUUCGAUAUACUGUUAGCAUGUGAAAUCUAGGAAUCUAGUGCUGAUCAUUUGUUAGACGAUGGAGGCAUUUAGCACAAUAAAAUUGGUAUAGCCUGGAAGUAGUGGAAGUACAUUUUGGGCAUGAAUUAGCAAGUACUUAAAAUGAGACUACGGGUGACAUUCUCUGUGUCUUAUGGAAAUAUUAUUUUGAAUUUGAAAUGCUAUUGUGCUGUUCUUACAUAUGUUGUUUCAACCAGAGCAAGGUUUUAUUUGCUGAAUCCUAUUUCCCAUUAGUAUUUUUUUUAAUCUAUAUACUUUAUGAAAUCAGCUAUUAUUCCAAAGCCGUGAUCUGAAUACAAAAAACCUUUCUCUUUGUAAUUAAAGUAAUUGGUUAGGUUGUUUGGCAUAGUUCAUUGUAGUGAUAAACAUAGAAGUCCUAUCACAAAGUCAAUGAGUGUUCUCUUUUGCAGGGACAUAUAAAAUGGACGGAAGAGUUGCACUACUGAGGUUCUGAAGGAGGAUGCUGUAUUAGUAAGUCAGCAAUCAAGAGUGAGGAAGAAGGUUUUCAGUUUUACAAUUGGUUUGGUGUUAAGAAAAACCAUUGAGCAUGAUCCUUUGCACAGAAAUGAUCAUCCAUGGGAGGCUAACUUUGCUUCUCAGAAGGAAAUUACGGUGCUGAGAGGUAAGUUGACAAUGCCAGGAACAAUGCAGAUAGAGUUCCUGGUUUUGUGAACUAUCUAUGAGACCUACACUGCUACUGAAGUAAUGCUCAAAGACUAAUUUUAUCACAUGAGACAGAUGGUACAGGAGCAUGCACACCAGCUGCUCGAGAACCACCAUCUCUCGUGAAUUAAUCCAUGAGUGACUAAAACCAAAAACCACUACCAGUUGAGCAACUGCCGCCGCUGCACUUCUCAAAACUCAUGACCUCUCCUACUAUUGAGCAGGUAGACGAUCUUGCAUUAUCACCUCAAGUCCCCAACACGCCAAUGUGCUUCACAUAACAAUUAGAAAUAGACUUCAGAGCGCUAGUGAAGAACUGUGCAUUAUUUGACUUCCUGUUUUAUUCAUCAACUCCAAUAUUCUCUACUUCCUCUUGAUACAGGUGUAUGAAGAAUGCAGGUUGAAGCAAUAGAUAGAGUAAUGCGGUCAAGUGGGUAAAAACCUGAUCAAAACUCCACACGCUUGUAUGUAUAACACUGCAUCUGAAUGAAAAUCUUGC